GAACAAUCAAAUUCGCUGGACUCAUUUU
rnacentral:piRNA from 1 species